rnacentral:rRNA from 1 species
GAUGAACGCUAGCGACAGGCCUAACACAUGCAAGUCGAGGGGCAGCACGAAGUAAGCUUGCUUACUUUGGUGGCGACCGGCGCACGGGUGCGUAACAGGUGUGCAAUCUGUCCAUAAUCGGGGAAUAGCCCAGCGAAAGUUGGAUUAAUGCUCCAUGUGAGUUUUAGAGGCAUCUCUUUAAUUUGAAACGUAAGGAUUAUGGGUGAGCACGCUUCUGAUUAGGUAGUUGGUGAGGUAACGGCUCACCAAGCCGACGAUCAGUAGGGGUUCUGAGAGGAAGGUCCCCCACAUUGGAACUGAGACACGGUCCAAACUCCUACGGGAGGCAGCAGUGAGGAAUAUUGGUCAAUGGGCGCAAGCCUGAACCAGCCAAGUCGCGUGAAGGAUGAAGGUUCUAUGGAUUGUAAACUUCUUUUGUCUGAGGGUAAAAAAGCGGACGUGUCCGUUCUUGCAAGUAUCAGACGAAUAAGCAUCGGCUAACUCCGUGCCAGCAGCCGCCGUAACAC